GCAAUAAGAUUCUCCCUUUUCCACUUUCAUCUAUCUAUCAGAGUCAAUAGUUAGAGUUAGUGGUCAGUAUAUACCACUGCCAUAUACGACCUUCAUGUACUCGUUAUUAUUACUAUAUAUAUAAUCUAAGUUAUUAAGAGUAUUAGUUAGUUGGCAUUCCGUACGUCCUAUAAUACAUAAAAAUAGUCUAGUUUUAUGCAUGUUUAUAAGGGCGGAUACUAGUAUUAUUGGGGCUGAUACCAUUUAGCCGAUCCAGCGGUCAGGAUCGCUUAAAAUUUUGAGAUGGUAUUAGCCCUUAGUAAUGUUGGUAUCAGCCUUUAUAAAUCGUGGUUUUAUGUAUUGUAAAAUAACUAUUAAUAAUUAAUUCAAAAUUUGAUGAAUUUAAAAUUUUACUCUACGAUCAAAUUCACUUGACAAAUGUGUCCCUAUUUUUAGCAGUUAUCAAACCCUUUAAACUCCUAAGCCAUGCGAGGCCAUGCGUCCAUGGUGAGAAUAUCCACCCUUGGGUGAGCGUCCCCGAUCCCUUGAAAAUUCUCCAUUCCACUUUUCCUCAAAUUAUAUGAAUGUAACAGUGAAUAGCGGUUUUUAAUGAAAAAAACGCCUCACGCAUAUAACUGUCUUUUCGGAAACGAAAAAAAACUUUAGUUCUCAUGGAAAAAAAAGAAAAAAGAAGCUAAACCUAAAACCAUCCUUAUUCUGUCUCUCUUCCUCUCGAUGAUCUCCUUCUAUCGAAUCCCCGAGAUCUUUUGACGAAUGAAUAAAAGAAAAAGGUGGUUCAAGUCCUUCUGUCGACGCUUUUCGUCAAAAACUUAAACCUAAAUCUCUUUUCGUCUGCCGCUCUCCCACUUUCGGUUCUCCUUCUCUAGAAUCCGGAUGCAUGUAAAACUGAUGUCUUCAAUUUUUGUUUGGUUUUUGGGUUUGCUUUCAUUGGAUUGUUGGAGUUUUUGGUGUUUUUGUGAAAGCCCUUUGAUAAGAUUAAUGCCGUUUGUUUACUGAUUUUUUCAGGUUCGGACAAUAGAAAGAGAAACUGUGAGAAGUUUUUGAAGAUGAUAUACACAGUGACGAUGGACAAAACGAAAGCUUGAAAAAUCCAUAGAUCUGAGGAUCAAAGGAAGUGACUAUUGCAGUACAACUACCACUGGAUGCAGCCUAUGAUGCACAACAGAGCAUACAUGGAAAUACUGCUGUAGUGUUUCAAUGGAGUGAAAUUGGUGAUCUCACUCUCUGCUGUGUAGUCAUUUUAUACAUUUGAAUUUUACUUCUUAAUAUAAGAAUCUGCUUUGAUUUUAGUGUAUGUUGGCUGCAGCUGAUUGUGUUGCGUGAUUGAAAAGGGAUGCAUAAUAUCCAAACUUGAAUGGUACAAUCAAUUCGUGUUUUUCUUAUGAAUGACUCUAUUCUGAGUUCAAUUGUAUGAUGAAUUUCGACUGCUAGGUGUGGAAGUUGCUGGUGGAAUGUGCUCACUGGUAUAAUAGUGAUGCUUGAUUGAAUCAUGAUAAUUCAUAGAAAGAUGCCUUUUCUGUUUUAUUGUCUGCCUAUACUCAACGCAUUGAAUUUUGUGGACGGUUUCACAUGAUGAGUUCAUGUGACUGCAUGAAUAAUUUGCUUGAUGUGUAUUUUUCACCAGAUGGAAUAAUAUGUAAUGCUGCCAUCGUCAACAAACAGCUUCUUAAACACGGUAUACUAAUAAGGAGGAAGAAAUCUAUUUGGGAUGCAAAAGUUUCCUUUGCAUGUUUUUUUUCUUUUUCUUGAUCGGUUCCUUUGCGUGCUUCUAAUAUAAUAAUUUUUGAAAUGAUCAUCAAGCAAUAAUUAUAAAUAUCUAUACAAAGCACAGAGAUAGAUAAUCGUGUCUCAUUAUCUGAUCCAUUACAAAGCACAUGAAAAUUAUAAAUAUCGAUCUUUUAAGUCUGUUGAUGAAGUUGUAACCAAGUUUGGGGGAUCACCAGUUGGAAAGCUUUAAAAAUCCGAGCAAUAAGGAGGAAGAAAUCUACUUGGGAUGCAAAAGUUUCCUUUGCAUGUUUUUUUUCUUUUUCUUGAGCGGUUCCUUUGUGUGCUUCUAAUAUAAUAAUUUUUGAAAUGAUCAUCAAGCAAUAAUUUUGCUUUCUUAUUUUUUGUAUCCAGGCUGCAGAGAUGUAGGUAUGUAUCUACAUACAACAAGAGCUUGAGAAUGUAACGCUAGAGCUUCCCAAGUAUAAAAAAGAGUCUGAGGGUGGAAGAUCCGAACGAAGAACCCAAUUAUUGUAGAGCUAAAUUAUGAUCCGAACAGAGAUUGAAGAGUACCAUGCGAAAAAGGAAUCAGAAAUAGUUAGGCUUAGAGCAGAAGCAAUGCAACGGGGGGUUGGUGAGGAGGUUAAGGCCGGUGUAGGAAUCAAAAAUAGUCAGGCAAAUUGCGUAUGCAGUUUUCCUUGCUGAUGCUAAGGAAAAUAAGGCUUAGCUCUUGGUUGUUUAGAUAUUAGUGUGUAAAAGGACUAACAUGUAGCUGAUCUUCAAAACCAUUUCAUAUGAAUUGGCUAAACAAAGACAAUAAUGUAAUUAAGUUGAUAAUGUUAAUCUACAUUUUAAAAAGUAA